AACCCGGACGUGCGCCUGGUUGACCUGACUGCAUUUUCUUACUUCUUUUCCUCCUCCGCCACGGCGUUACAACUUACGACCUCAAUUUGAGAGAUAGAAAUGAUGACAAAAGAAGCCAACCUGAUGAUUAUGCUGUUUGCUUCCAUGGUAUCACCUCUCAUGGGAUCAUGCCCGGAAAAUACAGAUGCAAUGUUCUGCGAUGGAGGUGACUUCGCCCCGCAAGUUUAUUGUAAUGAUGUCGAUCUCACCCCCUGGCAGUGCACAAAGAAGCGUAAGGUAUGGUGUGGAUGCAGUGCUGGGUUCGCCCGGGCAAAGGGCGGCACAUGUGUGCGGACAU
rnacentral:lncRNA from 1 species